rnacentral:pre_miRNA from 1 species
UGGAAGACUAGUGAUUUUGUUGUUUACCACUUGCACAUGCACAACAAGUCACGGUCUGCCGCA